UACAGAGGAUGCAAGCGUUAUCCGGAAUGAUUGGGCGUAAAGCGUCUGUAGGUGGCUUUUUAAGUCCGCCGUCAAAUCCCAGGGCUCAACUCUGGACAGGCGGUGGAAACUACCAAGCUGGAGUACGGUAGGGGCAGAGGGAAUUUCCGGUGGAGCGGUGAAAUGCGUAGAGAUCAUGAGGAAGACCAGUGGCGAAGGCGGGUCUCUGGACAGUUCCUGACACUGAGACACGAAGGCCAGGGGAGCAAACGGG
rnacentral:rRNA from 1 species